rnacentral:rRNA from 1 species
GAGACUCUGUGCGCGUGCAUAUCAAUAAGCGGAGGAAAAGAAACUAACUAGGAUUCCCUCUAGUAACGGCGAGUGAAGCGGGAAGAGCUCAAAUUUGAAAUCUUCAAGGUUUUACCUUGACGAAUUGUAGUUUAAAGAAGUGUUUUCUGUUGGUAGUUUUGGUAAAAGUUCUUUGGAAUAGGACAUCAUAGAGGGUGAGAAUCCCGUAUUUGACCAUUAUUUUCCAGCUGUGUGAUACACUUUCAAAGAGUCGGAUUGUUUGGGAAUGCAGUCCAAAAUGGGUGGUAAAUUUCAUCUAAAGCUAAAUAUUGGCGAGAGACCGAUAGCGAACAAGUACCGUGAGGGAAAGAUGAAAAGAACUUUGAAAAGAGAGUUAAACAGUACGUGAAAUUGUCAAAAGGGAAGCGUUUGACACCAGUGUUGUUUUCUCGAAAAUCAAUUAAAAAAGGAUGGGAUUUUGUGUUGUAUUGACCUUUAAUCAGCUUUCUUCACUCUUUUUCUUGAUCUUUUUUAAUGCACUUUUCGUUUAACAAGUCAACAUCAAUUUCUUUUGUUGUAAAAGAGUCAUUGGAAGGUGGCUUUUUUCUUCGGAAAAAGUGUUUAUAGCCUUUGGCUUCUGCAAUCGGAGAGAUUGAGGUCUGCAGCGUAGAUCCUUCGGGGUUAGAUACAUUUGUGCUAAGCUAUAGUUCUUUAUAGACAACUUGUUGACUAUAAUCAAUCCUGUAACUUACUCGCUUAUGCUAUUUUACCUACGCUUAGGAUGUUGACAGCAGUAUAGACUGU